AUGAAGUGUUUGGGGGAACUC
rnacentral:miRNA from 4 species